rnacentral:rRNA from 1 species
AUUGAACGCUGGCGGCAGGCCUAACACAUGCAAGUCGAACGGCAGCACAGAAGAGCUUGCUCUUUGGGUGGCGAGUGGCGGAAGGGUGAGUAAUGUCUGGGAAACUGCCCGAUGAAGGGGGAUAACUACUGGAAACGGUAGCUAAUACCGCAUAACGUCGCAAGACCAAAGAGGGGGACCUUCGGGCCUCUUGCCAUCGGAUGUGCCCAGAUGGGAUUAGCUUGUUGGUGGGGUAACGGCUCACCAAGGCGACGAUCCCUAGCUGGUCUGAGAGGAUGACCAGCCACACUGGAACUGAGACACGGUCCAGACUCCUACGGGAGGCAGCAGUGGGGAAUAUUGCACAAUGGGCGCAAGCCUGAUGCAGCCAUGCCGCGUGUAUGAAGAAGGCCUUCGGGUUGUAAAGUACUUUCAGCGGGGAGGAAGGGAGUAAAGUUAAUACCUUUACUCAUUGACGUUACCCGCAGAAGAAGCACCGGCUAACUCCGUGCCAGCCGCCGCGGUAAGAC